rnacentral:misc_RNA from 1 species
CGCACAUUGCGCCCAUUAGUAUUCUAGUGGGCAUGCCUGUUCGAGCGUCAUUUCAACCCUUAAGCCUAGCUUAGUAUUGGGAGUCGACUUUACUGUCGUUCCUCAAAUCAAACGGCGGAUUUAUAGCAAUCUCUGAACGUAGUAAAUUUUACAUCUCGUUUUUGAAAUACUAUAAACCUCAGCCGAUAAACCCCCCAAUUUUUAAUGGUUGACCUCGGAUCAGGUAGGAAUACCCGCUGAACUUAA